rnacentral:rRNA from 1 species
UACAGAGGGGGCAAGCGUUAUUCGGAAUUAUUGGGCGUAAAGGGCGCGUAGGCGGCUUGGCAAGUGGAUGGUGAAAUCCCUCGGCUUAACUGAGGAAGUGCGCCCGAAACUGCUGUGCUUGAGUACCGGAGAGGAUGGCGGAAUGCCCCAAGUAGAGGUGAAAUUCGUAGAUAUGGGGCGGAACACCGGUGGCGAAGGCGGCCAUCUGGACGGAUACUGACGCUGAGACGCGAAAGCGUGGGUAGCAAACAGG